CUUGGAGCCAGCUGAUUAUAGACUGAAACCUCCACAAACUAAGUUCACAGCAAAGAGUUUCCCUCAAGUCAGAAGAGAUUGAACAUGGACUUCUGAAAAAUACUGGAUUGUUGAAACUUUUGUGAAGAGAUUACUACAUUUCCAGUUGUAUGCAAGACAUUUGUAUCAUGUGAGGAGUUCUUAACUUAUGUUUAUUUGUAGAGACUUGUUGUGGACCUUGUGAAGAAGUUUGUAGAGCUUCCACUCUGACCACUCAUCACUAAACUAAUAUGAAGCUCCUCCCGAACCAGUAUUCAGUAUCUGCCUACUUCCUGGAUGGCUUUUGGGACUAGGCCCUCAAGGACUACUAUAGCUUCAGGGUUUUGAUUACUCAGGGACAGUCCUCUGAGAAGAGCAACGGGAUGCUGGAAUAGAAACACCCUCAGAAACACCUACAUGAGUCUGCCUUUGAAGACCACUUCCUGGGCCUUCUGCCUCGCCACUGACCGCAAGGACUGCCACUUCUAAAGAAUGAGCCAAAAGAAACUUCACCUCUGUUAAAGUUGUGGGUGUCCAGUAUUUUGUCCUAGCUACAAGGGAAGUGAUUAAGGUACCUCACAACCUUUUUAACUAUCACUCAAACUUAAUAUCAUUAAGCAACCAGGUUUAUCAACUAUACAAUGGAAAAGAAGAAGCAACAGUAUCACAAGGCAAAAAAAAAGCUUUGAAGGAAAAACCUUUCCUCUGUAUUUUCACUGCAUUUUCUAAGCCAGCGAGAAGAGCCAUGAUGAUAUUGGUUAUUUAAUCAAUAAAGGUGUGUUGAACUGUCAAUUAAUAUAUAAGUUUAAUGGCCUUAUUAAAUUUCUUAGCAAGAAGCUUAAGCUAUUGCUUUCUUCUCUGCUGCUUUUCAAUCAUAUACAGUCAUCAUGAGAAGUUCAAAUCUACAGUCUAAACUGCGAUGCACAGGGCACAGAGGUAAUCAGGAGCAUCCCCCUUUCUUAAUCAUCUUUUCCAAUUCAAGAGUGCUCUCCAAGUGUAUGAAUGGCUCAGACAUUACGACAAAUGAUGUAAACUACUCUUACACAUACUGUUUCUAUACUUACCUUUGAAAAUACUAUACUCUAAAAUUCCUCUAAUAAGCCCUCUAGAAAACUAUUUUUCUCUUGAGACAGGUUUUCUUGGCAAAAAGUUGAAUCUAAUAAAUUGUCAACCAAAAUGAGAGUCCCAUCCCAAAUCACAGGUGGAUAUAUUACUGCAUUAGUUUCAUAAAACUUGCAAGGCCCUAUAUUUUGCAAGUAGGCUCAUUUACUGAACAUAUAAAUUUUGCCAAAUUUCACUUCAAAUUUUUCAAAUUUUGACAAAUUUAAUGUAGAAACUGGUGAGAUAACUAUAUGAUAUUAAUUAGCCUUUAUAUUUCAUUAGGUCCUG